GCUAUAAACCUAGCCCAACUAAACACGAAUACUUUUAACAAACUGACUUCUUUUAACAAACCAUUUUGAUAUUCUAGUAAAGGAGAUUGAAAAACCCGUUGGAGCUAUAACAACAGUACCGCAAGGGAACAGUGAAAUAACAAAUGAAAAUCUUAAGCAUUAAAAAGUAAAGAUUACCCCCUGUACCUUUUGCAUCAUGGUUUAACUAGUCCAAUCAAGCAAAACGUAUUUAAGUUUGACCCCCCGAAACUAAGUGAGCUACUUCAGGGCAGCUAAAAGAGCGAACCCGUCUCUGUAGCAAAAGAGUGGGACGACCCUCAAGUAGUGGUGACAGACCUAACGAACUUAGUGAUAGCUGGUUACUCAAGAAAUGGAUAUAAGUCCAACCUGAACCACGUGACCCCCAAGUUUACCAAAACAGCCCUCAUCUUUCAGCGUAAUUCAAAUAAGGUACAGCCUAUUUGAAACAGGACACAACCUAGACUAGCGGAUAAGACUAGCCUAAAGAACAAUCAAGUCGGCCUAAAAGCAGCCAUCUUUAAAAUUGCGUCAAAGCUUAAUUGUCAUCACGCCCAAUUACCUAAUUAUCAUCUUAAUCCCCAAUCAAUACUGAGUAAUUCUAUAACGCUAUAGAAAAUUUUAUGUUAAAACUAGUAACAAGAAGAAGACCCUUCUCUUAAAUGUUAGUGUUAAUCAGAGGGGACUAACCGCUGAUACUUAACAUUCUUGAACUUAAAGUAGCAACUAACCGAGAAAACCCUACCCAAAUCGAUGUCAACCUAACACAAGCACAUUUUAAGAAAGAUUAAAAGAAAAAGAAGGAACUCGGCAAAUGUUAACCCCGCCUGUUUACCAAAAACAUCGCCUCUUGAACCAAAUAAGAGGUCCAGCCUGCCCAGUGACUCUGUUCAACGGCCGCGGUAUCCUAACCGUGCGAAGGUAGCGUAAUCACUUGUUCUUUAAAUGAGGACUAGUAUGAAUGGCACCACGAAGGUUAUACUGUCUCCUUUUUUUAAUCAGUGAAACUAAUCUCCCCGUGAAGAAGCGGGGAUAAAACUAUAAGACGAGAAGACCCUAUGGAGCUUUAAACAACAUAGCACUUACCUCACAACACAAAUUCUUAAAUUAAACUCCUUAGGUAACAUGACUACAAGUUUUUGGUUGGGGUGACCACGGAGCAUAAUAUAACCUCCACGUUGAAGAAAUUCUAUUUUAAGCUAAGACUCACUUAUCCAAGCAUCAAUAUCUUGACAUCCAUUGACCCAAUACUUUUGAGCAACGAACCAAGUUACCCUGGGGAUAACAGCGCAAUCCACUUUAAGAGCCCCUAUCGACAAGUGGGUUUACGACCUCGAUGUUGGAUCAGGGUCUCCAAGUGGUGCAGCCGCUACUA
rnacentral:rRNA from 1 species